UUUUUGAGUCCUUAUGUGUCAACCACUGGGCUAUCCCAACACCAAUAGAUAUUAUGAUUAUGAUUUUCUUUUCCAUUUUAUUGAUGUGGAAACCAACACAUAGAAAGGUAAAGGAACUUGCCAAAGGUGAUGGUCACACAGCCGAAGAACUGUAGAAGUAGCACAGGAAUCCCAGCAAACUCACAGCCAAGCUCUACUUUUCACCUUCACGUCAUACUGUCCUCAGACUAAAACCGUAACUCUGACGUUCCCAAUCAAAAAUCAUACUCAAGGCCGGGUGCGGUGGCUCACGCCUGUCAUCUCAGCACUUUGGGAGGCCAAGGCAGGUGGAUAACCUGAGGUCAGGAGUUCCAGACCAGCCAAGCCAACAUGGUGAAACCCCAUCUCUACUAAAAAUACAAAACUUAGCCAGGUGCAGUGGUGGGUGUCUGUAAUCCCAGCACUUUGGGAGGCUGAGGCAUGAAAAUCACUUGAACCCAGGAGGCAGAAGUUGCAGUGAUCCAUGAUCAUGCCACUGCACACCAGUCUGGGCAAGAGAGUGAGACUCUGUCUCAAAAGAAAAAAAAAACUGUGCUUAAUAAUAGCUUAGAAGUGCACAUAUCUUCUGUGAAGGUUGAUGGACUACAAUUAGCUUCAAAACACAAAUAAGUAACUGUGUUUAAAUGAGGCCUUCUGUGUAAUAGCUAGGGAAAAUCAAUGUAGCUAUUCAUAUUUUGGUUCCCCUUCCAGGCACAGAGAAGUUGCCCAUGACUCUGUGAUCCGUUUUGUCCGAUGAACCAUGAGCAGGAGCAACUUGAGUCACCUCCAGGUGGAAGUGUUAAGAGGCUCUGUGAUCCAGCACAUUCCCUUUCCCCUGAAGUGGUGAUCAAGGACACAUGCAGAGAUGGGGCUUUUGUCAGCCUGGAUCCCUGAGUGAACACAAUGAACAGACCACCCCACAAUGCCCUAACACAGCCCAGACAUGCAACAUGACCAAGAAUAAGCCUCAUUGUGGCCAGACAUGGUGGCUCACACCUGUCAUCCCAGCACUUUGGGAGGCCAAGGCAGGUGGAUCAUUUGAGGUCAGGAGUUCAAGACCAGCCUGGCUAACAUGGUGAAAUCCUGUCUCUACUAAGUAAAAAAAUUAGCCAGACAGUAGUGGCACGGGCCUGUAAUCCCAGCCACUCAGGAGGCAGAGAAUCACUUGAGUCUGGGAGGCAGAGGUGGCAGUGAGCUGAGAUUGCACCACUGCACUCUAGUCUGGGUGACAGAGUGAGACCCUGUCUCAAAAACUAACAAAUACCUCACCGCAUGGAGCCACUGAGAUUUGGGGGUUGUUGUUACUGCAUCAGAACCCAAAUCAUCCUGACCACUAGACUGUCCUAACUAGGGUUUCUUACCAAAAGCAAAGGCAUUUUUAAAGUUCGUGACAUUUAAACAAAAGAGCAAAUACCAAUAUCUGCCACUUUGUCAGGCUAACAAACCCAAACAAAGCCAACAGCCAGAAGUUAAAAGAAACGGAUCAUUAGGUUGAAAACAGAACUGUCAAAACAGGCAAAAUUGACUUUGUUUAGUGAUUGCAAAGAACAUCAGGCAAGACACAGGUGUGGUCAUCAUAUAAUUUAUCACAUGCUUAAUUGCACAUGUUUGACUAAGAAAAACACAAAGUAUUUAAGCUCAUCUGUAGUUCAAAGUGCCUAUCCGUGUAUUUGUCCAUUCAUCCUGAUUUAUUUAUUGAGCAACUCUUUUGUACCAGGCACUGUGCUGGGUGGUGGUAAUGCAAUGAUGAAAAUGGCAGGCAUGGCUCUGCCCUCCAGGAGUUUCUAGGAUACAGAGGGAGACAAACAAAAAAUAAGUAAAUCCAUGAAAGAAGUAUUGGUGGAACCUGCCCCCCAAUAUUUCAAUGUAGGUUCUUUCUGUUUUCCAUAAGUGUCAGCCAGCUGAGAAAUAAAGAGAGACACUACAAAGAGAGGAAUUUUACAGCUGGGCCACUGGGGGUGACAUUACAUAUCAGUAGGACCAUGAUGUCCCCUGAGUCUCAGACCAGCAAGUUCUUAAUUAAGGGUUUCAAAAGGGGAGGCAGUGUAAGAACAGGGAGUAGGUACAAAGAUCACAUGCGUCAAAGGGCAAAAAGCAGAACUACUACUAAGGGUCUAAAAAAGAUCACAUGCUUCUGAGGGAACAGGACAAAGGGCAAAAGCAGAACUACUGAUAAGGGUCCAGCAAAGAUCACAAAGCAAAGGGCAAAAGCAGAACCACUGAUAAGGGUCUACGUUCAUUGGCGCAUGUAUUGUCUUGAUAAACAUCUUAAACAACAGAAAACAGAAAACAAGAGAACCAGUCUGACCACAGAUUUACCAGGGCAGAGUUUUCCUCCACCCUAGUAAGGCUUUGGGUACUACAGGAGACCAGGGCGUAUCUCAGUCCUUAUCUCAACUGUGUAAGACAGACAUUCCCAAAGCGGCCAUUUAUAGACCUCCCCCCAGGAGUGCAUUCCUUUCCCAGGGUAUUAAUAUUCCUUGCUAGGAAAAGAAUUUAGUGAUAUCCCUCCUACCUGCACAUCCUUUUAUAGACUCUCUGCAAGAAGAAACAUAUGGCUCUUUUUGCCUGACCCUGCAGGCAGUCAGACCUUAUGGUUGUCUUCCCUUUUUCCCUAAAAAUCACUGUUAUUCUCUUCUUUUUCAAGGUGCACUGAUUUCAUAUUGUUGAAACACACAUGUUUUAAAAUCAAUUUGUACAGUUAACACAGUUAUCACAGUGGUCCUGAGGUGAUGUACAUCCUUAGCUUAUUAAUAUAACAGGAUUAAGAGAGUAAAGACAGGCAUAAGAAAUUAUAAAAGUAUUAUUUGGGAACUGAUAAAUGUCCAUAAAAUCUUCACAAUUUAUGUUCCUCUGCCACAGCUCCAGCCAGUCCCUCCAUUUGGGGUCCCUGACUUCCCACAACAAGAAAUAAUAAGAGGUUAAGGUGGAGAAGAGCAGGGAAGUCCACUUUAUAAAGGGGUCAGGAAAGAGCUCUCUGUGGAAGCACCAUUUUAGCUGAGACCUAAAGGAUGGUCUAAUUUGGGGAGGUGCAGAGGAAAAUCAUUCCAGGCUGAAGCAGCAAGUGCAAAGGCCCUGUUGUGGAAAAAGGUUUGAAAGUCCAACAAAACAAAAGGAGGCCAGAGUGGCUGAAAUAGAGUAGGCCAAGGGGAGGAGAUAGGAGAGGGCUGGAGAGGCGGCAGGGUCAGGCAGAAGACUCAGGGUCUUGAUUUUAUUCUAUGUGCCAUGGGCAGGAAAGGCAAGGGUGAGACUCAAUGGACACCUUAAGAUCACUGAAGCUGCCAGGUGGGAAAUGGAUUGCUGAGCAUCAAGAGUAGGUGCAGAGGACCAGUUAAGACCAGUUAGGAGGCUGCUGCUGUAGCCCAGCUGGGAUAGCAGUGCCCUAGGCAAAGAUAACAACAGUGAAGUUAAAGAGAGUGGACAAGUUGGGUAAAGUUUAGAAUCACAGGACUUGCUGACUGGAGAAGAGGGCAAAAGCAGAGUUAGCACAACACAUGAGUUAUGACCACCUUGAGCAGCUCAGCAGGGGGUGGUGCCAUUUACAGAACAGAGAUGGCAUGGACAGAGCCCAUGGAGAAGGAGGAGGAAAAAGAGAGUUUGGCUUUGGGUUUUUUUUUAAGACAGGGUCUCUGGCUCUGUCACCCAGGCUGGAGUGCAUUGGUGCGAUCAUAGCUCUUUGCAGCCUCAAACUCCUGGGCUCAAGUGAUCCUCCUGCCUCAGCCUCCCAAGUAGCAGGAUUACAGAUCCUACAGAUGCACUUCACCAUGCCUAGCUAAUUUUUUUUUUUUUUUUUUUUUUUGGUAGAUAGGGAGUCUCACUGUGUUUUCCAGGCUGGCUUCAAACUCCUGGCCUCAAGUAAUCCUCCUGCCUCAGCCUCCCAUAGCACUGGGGUUACAGCCAUCACCUACCACUCCAAGCCAUGAGUUUGGCUUUGGAUGUAACAAGAUGGAGGUGUUCAUGAGUUCACAAGUGGAAAAAACAAGAAAGAAGUUGAGUGUUUAAGACUGCUGUUUGAAGGAGAAGUCUAGCCUCAAGACAAAAGUUCAGGACUCAUAAGCUGAGAAAUGGCACUGAAAAUUAUGCAAAGGGAUGAGCUCAGCUAGCAAACAAGUCCAGAGAGAGCAGAAAGUCCAGAGAGAGCAGCACUGGGCCAUGCACCUGGCCUAAUGCCACCCCACUCCUCCCAAUCCCUGUGUUAUGCUGGAGAGGGUUCAGCCUCUGGUGAGUUUCACCAAACCCCCACAUCUUAUUCUUCUGAGACCGUCUUUAAAAUCCCCUCUUUUAUACUUAGUGAAAUGGGAUUCUCUUUUUCCCAUCCAGCUUAAGCAAAAACUUUUGACUAUGAAAGGAAUGAGGAUGCAUUUAAUAUCUGCUCUGCAUGGCUAAUUCCAUCAAAGAUUUCUCAUUAUUCAUGCCUGGCAGUCUCAUUUUCUUCUUUCGCCUCUCAGAGCAUAGUCAUAGCCUUAAUUAGUGACCUUUUCACCCUUCUAACACCAGUGAUUUUCCCCCAUCUCAGUUCUCAGGAAGUUCUGUUCACAGAAUUAUCUCCUGAAUCCUCACCUGGGGAUAGAAAUUGUUCUCUGUGGCCGUGUCUCCCCCUCUAAUUCUCAUCAAAAAACAGUGAUCUCUGUGCAUCAAAUAUGAAACUCAAGCUUAACAGAUCAUGCUUCUGGCUUCUCUCUCUCUCUGGCCUGUGGGUUAACAGGUUUGCAGCCUUUGCAGAGAAGACACCAAAUUCUCAAGAGGCCAGAGUUUCCAAGAGUGCUGGUCACUCUUGCUCUCUUUCUCCUGCUCAAAAUUCAGCACUAGAGAGUGUUACACCAUUGCACCUGCAGAGGAGUUCAUCUGACUCUAGGGACUACAGAGGAGAGAGACAGACAAACUAACAGACAUUCAGAAAAGGGCUACCACAAUGGGGAAGAAAAUGAAAGUCAAACCAAAUAAGCAAUGGUCAAAAAAAAAAAUCUAGAGGGCAGCUGCAGUGGCUCACAUCUGUAAUCCCAGCACUUUGGGAGGCCGAGGCAGGUGGAUCACUUGAGAUCAGGAGUUCAAGACCAGCCUGGGCAACAUAGUGAAAUCACAUCUCUACUAAAAAUACAAAAAUUAGCCAGGUGUGGUGGUGGGAGCCUGUAAUGUCAGCAUUUUGUGAGGCUGAGGUGGGUGGAUCACCUGAUGUCAGGAGUUUGAGACCAGCCUGGCCAACAUGGUAAAACCCUAUUUCUAUUAAAAAAUACAAAAAUUAGCCAGGUGUGGUGGCAGGUGCCUGUAAUCCCAGGUACUUGGGAGGCUGAGGCAGGAGAAUUGCUUGAACCCAGGAGGCAGAGGUUGCAGUGAGCAAAGAUUGCACCACUGCACUCCAGCCUGGGCAACAUUGAGACAUUGUCUGGAAAAAAAAAAAACAAAAAACCUAGAAAUGUCCAUCCAGGCUGAAGAGAAUAUUCCAGAGCAGGGGUUGGGAUACUAUGGCCCAUGGCCAAAUCUGACCUGCAUGCACAUGUUUUUGUAAAUAAAGUUUUAUUGAAACACAGUUAUGCCCAUUUGCUACAUAUUGUCUAUGGCUGCUGGAUUAGGCUGUUCUCUCAUGCUAUAAAGAAAUACCUGAGAUUGGGUAAUGUAUAAAGAAAAGAGGUUUAAUUGGCUCACAGUUUUGUAGACUGUACAGGGAAGCAUAACACUGACAUCAGCUGAGCUUCUGUGGAGGCCUCAGGAAACUUACAAUCAUGGCAGAAGGUGAAGUGGGAGCAAGAGAGUGAGGAGGGAGGUGCUACACACUCGUAAACAACCAGAUCUUGCAAGAACUCACUUACUAUUGCAAGGACAGGACCAAAGGGAUGAUGGUAAAUCAUUCAUGAGAAAUCCACCCCCAUGAUCCAAUCUCUUCCCACCAGGCCCCACCUCUAAAACUGGGUAUUACAUUGCAACAUGAGAUUUGGGCGGGGACACAUAUUCAACCUAUAUCAGCUGCUUUCAUGCUAUGGGUGGCAGAGUUGAGUAACUACUACAAGAGACUGUAUGGCCCAAGAAUUGUAAAAUAUUUACUAUCUGAUGCUUUCAAGAAAGUUUGCAAAGCCUGCUCUUGAAAAGGAAUGGAAGGAAGAGGAGAGGAGGAAGGCAGGAAGGAGCAGAGAGGGACACGGGGCUGUAUUCAAACAUCUGUUGUUAAGAAAGAGAAAUUCAAUUUAUUUGGCAUGGCCCAAGUUAUCAAACUAGGAGCACUCCAUUGAAGUUUCAGAACAAACACUGUGCUGAAUAUAAGGAUGACCCCAUCUGUAAUGCCUAACCUUGUUUUUACUAACUUUGUUGGUAGACUUUCCUUUUCUUUUAAUCACUUAGCCUUGUUUCUACCUGAAUUGACUUUCUUUUAGCUAAGAGAGCUAGAUAGACUUUGUCUUGGCUUUUUCACUGGCAGCCCCUUCCUCAAGGACUUAACUUGUGCAAGCUGACUCUUAGCACCUCUAAGAAUGCAAUUAAGUGAUAAGAUACUGUGGGACGAGCAAUAUCCGCAGUUACUAGGAAUUUGUCUGAUUGAUAACACCCAAAGCCCCGCGUCUAUCACUUUGUAAUAGUCUUAAAGCCCUUAGACCUAGAAUUGUUUACUUUCCUGUAACAAUUUAUCCUUUUAACUUCUUUGCCUACUUCUGUAAAAUUGUUUUAACUAGACCCCUUUCCCCUUUCUAAACUAAAGUAUAAAUGAAAAUCUAGCCCCUUCUUCAGGGCCGAGAGAACUUUAAGCAUUAGCUGUAUCUUGGCCACCGGCUAAAUAGACUCAUAAUUCGUCUCAAAGUGUGGCAUUUUCUCUAACUCGCUCAAGUACAACAUUUGGAGGCCCCAGUGAGAAACGCCACCAGGCGAGAGCCAGGCUUGCUCCGGCCCCCCCCGGAAGAACGGCCGGAUUGUAGUGGGGGCGCCACUUGAAAAAAAAUUUUCAGGUCCCUGAAAGGUGACCGUCUUCCAGAGGAAAGCGGAUCGACUACCGUGUGGGUGCCCACAAAAAUUCCACCUCUGAGUCCUCAACUUCUGACCCUGAGGUCAGGUAGGUCAGAUUUGACUUCAGUUCUAGUAAGAGGGAAGCGGCCCUUAUGAGGGCAUCCCUCUUUUGACUCUGCCCAUUUCUCUAGGACGCUAGAAGGCAGAGCCCUGGUUUUCUGUUAGGCACCUCUGUGUCUCUGUCUAGGAGGGAAGUGGCCCUGAUAGGGGCCCUCCCUUGACUCAGUCCACAUCCCAGGAUGCUGGAGGACUGAGUCCUGGUUUCUGGCAGACCGGUCACUCUCUCUCUCGCUCUCUUUUUCUAUCUCUCAUCUUUCUCUUGUUCCAGUUUCUUGAAGAAUCUCCAAGAAAGAAAAAAAAACUGUUUUAAACUCUGUGUGAAUAAUGAAUGAAUGAGGGAGGACAAGGGCUUGCGCUUGUCCUCCAGUUUGUAGCUCCACGGCGAAAGCUACGGAGUUCAAGUGGGCCCUCACCUGCGAUUCCGUGGCGACCUCUUAAGGCUUAAGGACAGCAUCAGGCAUAGCUCGAUCUGAGCCGGAAGUUUAUACCGGGCUGCCAAUGCUAAGAGGAGCCCAAGUCCCCUCAGGGGGAGCGGCCAGGCAGGCAUCUGACUGAUCCCAUCACAGGACCCCCUCCCCUUGUCUGUCUAAAAAAAAAAAAAAAAGGAAGAAACUUUCAUAACUGUUUACAUGCCCUAAAGUCAAUUGUUUAUGUUGAUUGUUCUGUUCAGUGUCUACUGUCUUGUUAGUAGUUGUCAAAGUUUUGCAUGUCAAGACGUUGAUAUUGCCCAAGACAUCUAAGUAAAAACUUCUUCAAAGUCCUUAGUGCUGAUUUUUUUGUCACAGGAGGUUAAAUUUCUCAUCAAUCGUUUAGGCUGGCCACCACAGUCCUGUCUUUUCUGCCAGAAGCAAGUCAAGUGUUGUUACAAGAACAAGAGUGAAAAACAUUUGCCUGAUUAAGAUUUCUAGCACCAUGAAAGUUAUCCUUCGUAGAAAUUCCUAAGGCUCAAUGCUGUGUGGAAGUUUCUAAGAAAGAAAAUAGUUUCCCAUCUUUGGGAUUCCCCUGAGAUGGUCCAAUCUGCAAAAAGUUCAUUGCCAUUUCCAUCAAGGACACUGAGAACAACAGUCUUAUCCGGAUUGGAUCCUGGGAAUUGAGAAGCUUCAACAAGUGGGAAAUGCACCCUCCACAGGGCUUCCGCUGGGACUAGGAUCAGGAUGUGGACACCCCCAAUCUGGACCGUCUAGCCGGGGAGGGCGUCAAGGCCAGGUACCUCAUGCCACCCUUUGUCACGAUGACCUCCCGGUCCCGCUUCACCGCCAUCCCGG